rnacentral:rRNA from 1 species
AGUGAACGCUGGCGGUAGGCCUAACACAUGCAAGUCGAACGGCAGCACAGUAAGAGCUUGCUCUUACGGGUGGCGAGUAGCGGACGGGUGAGGAAUACAUCGGAAUCUACUUUUUCGUGGGGGAUAACGUAGGGAAACUUACGCUAAUACCGCAUACGACCUACGGGUGAAAGCAGGGGAUCUUCGGACCUUGCGCGAUUGAAUGAGCCGAUGUCGGAUUAGCUAGUUGGCGGGGUAAAGGCCCACCAAGGCGACGAUCCGUAGCUGGUCUGAGAGGAUGAUCAGCCACACUGGAACUGAGACACGGUCCAGACUCCUACGGGAGGCAGCAGUGGGGAAUAUUGGACAAUGGGCGCAAGCCUGAUCCAGCCAUACCGCGUGGGUGAAGAAGGCCUUCGGGUUGUAAAGCCCUUUUGUUGGGAAAGAAAAGCAGCAGGUUAAUACCCCGCUGUUCUGACGGUACCCAAAGAAUAAGCACCGGCUAACUCCGUG